AAAAGGAAUUGACGGGGCCCGCACAAGCGGUGGAGCAUGUGGUUUAAUUCGAAGCAACGCGAAGAACCUUACCAGGUCUUGACAUCCCGAUGCUAUUUCUAGAGAUUAGGAAGUUACUUCGGUACAUCGGUGACAGGUGGUGCAUGGUUGUCGUCAGCUCGUGUCGUGAGAUGUUGGGGUUUAAAGUCCCCGCAACGAGCGCAACCCCUAUUGUUAGUUGCCAUCAUUCAGUUGGGCACUCUAGCGAGACUGCCGGUAAUAAACCGGAGGAAGUGGGGAUGACGUCAAAUCAUCAUGCCCCUUAUGACCUGGGCUACACACGUGCUACAAUGGUUGGUACAACGAGUUGCGAGUCGGUGACGGCGAGCUAAUCUCUUAAAGCCAAUCUCAGUUCGGAUUGUAGGCUGCAACUCGCCUACAUGAAGUCGGAAUCGCUAGUAAUCGCGGAUCAGCACGCCGCGGUGAAUACGUUCCCGGGCCUU
rnacentral:rRNA from 1 species